rfam:Lactobacillus algidus DSM 15638 Scaffold9, whole genome shotgun sequence.
GGUUGUUUAGAGAUUGUCGACAAUGUUGUCAGUUUCUGGAAAUUGGUCUUCAUUAACGUAUCUUUUCGCCGUGCCCACACCGAAAUGAUACGUUUUUUU